ACGAACGCUGGCGGCGUGCCUAAUACAUGCAAGUAGAACGCUGAAGAGAGGAGCUUGCUCUUCUUGGAUGAGUUGCGAACGGGUGAGUAACGCGUAGGUAACCUGCCUUGUAGCGGGGGAUAACUAUUGGAAACGAUAGCUAAUACCGCAUAACAAUGGAUGACACAUGUCAUUUAUUUGAAAGGGGCAAUUGCUCCACUACAAGAUGGACCUGCGUUGUAUUAGCUAGUAGGUGAGGUAACGGCUCACCUAGGCGACGAUACAUAGCCGACCUGAGAGGGUGAUCGGCCACACUGGGACUGAGACACGGCCCAGACUCCUACGGGAGGCAGCAGUAGGGAAUCUUCGGCAAUGGGGGCAACCCUGACCGAGCAACGCCGCGUGAGUGAAGAAGGUUUUCGGAUCGUAAAGCUCUGUUGUAAGUCAAGAACGAGUGUGAGAGUGGAAAAUUCACACUGUGACGGUAGCUUACCAGAAAGGGACGGCUAACUACGUGCCAGCAGCCGCGGUAAUACGUAGGUCCCGAGCGUUGUCCGGAUUUAUUGGGCGUAAAGCGAGCGCAGGCGGUUUGAUAAGUCUGAAGUUAAAGGCUGUGGCUCAACCAUAGUUCGCUUUGGAAACUGUCAAACUUGAGUGCAGAAGGGGAGAGUGGAAUUCCAUGUGUAGCGGUGAAAUGCGUAGAUAUAUGGAGGAACACCGGUGGCGAAAGCGGCUCUCUGGUCUGUAACUGACGCUGAGGCUCGAAAGCGUGGGGAGCGAACAGGAUUAGAUACCCUGGUAGUCCACGCCGUAAACGAUGAGUGCUAGGUGUUGGAUCCUUUCCGGGAUUCAGUGCCGCAGCUAACGCAUUAAGCACUCCGCCUGGGGAGUACGACCGCAAGGUUGAAACUCAAAGGAAUUGACGGGGCCCGCACAAGCGGUGGAGCAUGUGGUUUAAUUCGAAGCAACGCGAAGAACCUUACCAGGUCUUGACAUCCCGAUGCUAUUUCUAGAGAUAGAAAGUUACUUCGGUACAUCGGUGACAGGUGGUGCAUGGUUGUCGUCAGCUCGUGUCGUGAGAUGUUGGGUUAAGUCCCGCAACGAGCGCAACCCCUAUUGUUAGUUGCCAUCAUUCAGUUGGGCACUCUAGCGAGACUGCCGGUAAUAAACCGGAGGAAGGUGGGGAUGACGUCAAAUCAUCAUGCCCCUUAUGACCUGGGCUACACACGUGCUACAAUGGUUGGUACAACGAGUUGCGAGUCGGUGACGGCAAGCUAAUCUCUUAAAGCCAAUCUCAGUUCGGAUUGUAGGCUGCAACUCGCCUACAUGAAGUCGGAAUCGCUAGUAAUCGCGGAUCAGCACGCCGCGGUGAAUACGUUCCCGGGCCUUGUACACACCGCCCGUCACACCACGAGAGUUUGUAACACCCGAAGUCGGUGAGGUAACCUUUUGGAGCCAGCCGCCUAAGGUGGGAUAGAUGAUUGGGGUG
rnacentral:rRNA from 1 species